CCAGGCCCUCAAUAUCUGGAAUGAUUCUUUCCCACAUCAGUGAGACUGGAUCUUCUUUACAUAGUCUCCUGAUUGACCUACUAGGUUCUUCUGAAACACCCUUACAGGCAUACCCAGAAAGAAUCAUUUGCUAGCCAUCUGGGCAUUGCUUAACCCAGCAAAGUUGACAUAUAAAAUGAACUUCCAUUUACAGUAUGCCCCUCUUCCUGUUCUUCAAACAUCCCUAUAGGUGACUCCUCAAAUUUUUCAGCUCGAUUUUACUUACUUAACAUCUUUUGGUGUUUCAUUAGUCUUUCACAUCACCUCUUGCUAUUUUUAUAUAAACUUAUUAUGAUGAGUACUAAUUAAUUUGAUUGCUAUAUUCUCAUCUACCUCUUCAAUGAAAUGGAUGAGAACAGUAUUCAUGUCUUUAUGUCUAUAUAUUCAGCACCUAGGACAGGUAGCAGUAAAGGUAGAUAAUGAAGAAUCACUAUGAACUAGAAAGACUAUGUUCAGUCGUGACUUUGUCAUUUAAAGGAACUUCAACACAUUUCUUAUUGUUUUUGUGUGUCAUCUUUAAUAGGGGAAGACUAAUAUAACAAGGAUCAUGUGAAUUAAUAUAUGGAAAGUGCUUGUCAUAUAGUGAGACCUCAUUAAAUUUCAGCAAUAUGGAUAUUAUAGUGCCUGGUAUAUACUAAUUAAUCAGUGAAUAGUUGCUGGGGUGGGUGUUGUAGCAUACUGAGUUAAACCACUGCUUGGGACACCCACAUACAAUAAAUGGCCUGCCAUGGUUGGAGUCCUUGAUACUCCCCCUUUCCAGUUUGGCAUUCUGCUAAUGAAUCCUGCAAGGCAGCAGAUGAUGGACCAAGUGCUUGGGUUUCUUCUACUUGUGUGGGAGACUGAAUACAAUUUCUGGUUCCUUUCUUUGGCCUGGCCUAACCCCAUUUGUCGUGGGCAUUUCAGAAGUGAACCUGUGGUCUUCAAAGAAGGAGGUACCUUUCUCUGAAGGGAGGAGAGAACUUCCACUUUGACUAAGGCUUUGUCUAAACAAGAUCAGAGUCGGAGAACUCAGAGGGCUUCCAUAGCCUUGGAAACUCAUGACUGGUGCAUAGGGAGAUUACUGAUGCCAUAGACAGGAGUGUCAAUUUGUAAAGUCAACAACAGGAGUCACUGUGCACUUACUCCUCAUGUAGGAUCUCUGUCCUUAAUGUGCUGUACACUGAGGCUUAAUGCUAUAACGAGUACUCAAACAGUAUAUUUCACUUUGUGUUUCUAUAGGGGUGCAAACUGUUGAAAUCUUUACUUAAUGUAUACUAAACUGAUCUUCUGUUAAAAAAAAAAAAAAGAAAGAAAGAAACUAUCAAUUCCCAACUUGACUCUCACUGAGAUUAACAUGACAAUAGGUCUGAUCUGAUUUCAUCAUCAUUUAAAAUAUCAUCUAUUAUUUUUCACUUUAUGUUUCUGUGUGGGAGCAAACUGUUGAAAUCUUUACUUAAUGUAUACUAAGCUGAUCUUCUGUAUAUUAAGAGAAUCGAAAAUGAAUCUUGAUGUGAAUGGAAGGGGAGAGGGAGUGGGAAAGGGGAGGGUUGUGGGUGGGAGGGAUGGUAUUGGGGGGAAGCCAUUGUAAUCCAUAAGUCGUACUUUGGAAAUUUAUAUUCAUUAAAUAAAAGUUAAAAAAAAAAAAAGAAGUGAACCUGUGGAUGAAAGUUCUCUUUGGUUCUUCUCUGACAUUCUGUAUUUCAAAUAAGAAAAUCUUAAAUAAAUACAUAGUUGCUGAAUGAGUGAAUGAUAUGAGAGCUUUAGUGUUACAGGACUGGGGUCUGAAUGCCACUUCUAUCAUUUAUGAUUGUGGCAAAAUUAUUAAUGUUUUUGAAUUUCAAUUUUUUGGGUUAUAAAAUAGUAUUGAUUUUCUUGAGUUUUUCAUAAGAAUGGAAGAAAUUCUUUAUCAAAUGUUAUAUAAUUUAGUUUUCUUAAAAAAAAGAGAGAGAGAAAAAAAUCCUAUUAUUCUAUACCUAGAGUCUGAAGUCCUAGAUAUUCUUACCCUUCUGGUGUUCAAAUACCCAUGCCUGAGGCCACUUGUAUUUAUUAUGCUAAUUAUCAUUAUAUUAUGGUGAUGAUGAUGAUGAUAAUUAUCAUUAUAACUUCUGGUCAUCCAAUUUGAUAAUUAUAGAUAACAAAAUCAAUUCAGGCUAACUUUAACCUGAAUUAAUUAAGAAAUUAAGGAAAGCUCAUUUUUAUAACAGAUUGAAUAAUAAUCAUCCAUGAUAUAUUCACAACCUCAAUUUAUUUAUUUCUCACUUUACUUUUUAAGCUUCAUGAGUUCAGUAUUUCUCUUUCCUGGAUGAAAACCAAGAAAUUGGUCAUGACUUUUGUUACUCAUGAUAAAACCUUCCUAUUGUAGGUUUAUGCCAAACACAUAAUUUAAAUUCCAUAAUUAGAAUAUAUUGGCAUUCUAGUUUUAUUUUUCUGCUGUAACAAAUAAUCACACACUUGUUACUACACAACAUAUUUAUUUAUAGCAAUAGUUCUGCAGGCGACGAUUCCAAGACAGAUUUCACUGGGUUAAGACUAAAGUGUCAGUAGGACUAUGUUCUUUUCUGGAAGCCUGCAGGAGAACUGUUUUCUUGCAACCAGAGACAACCCAAAGUUAUCAAAUUCUGGACUAUUCCUUAGAAAGUGGACAUCUUUGGGGAUCCUUAUACCACCUACUGUAAGUGGUCUAAUAUUAGAAAAACCUAGCCUUCUAGAUCUUCUCUACAUUAAUCUUCAUGAGGCAUGAUCCAGGACUCCUUUUUACCUUCUAGUGUUAACACAUUUUGUAUCCCAAAGCUUUCUAUGCCGCAGUUUUCCAAAUGAUUCCCUUGUAGUCCUUUUUCCCCAUCUCAGGAUCCAAAGAUACCAUUCUUCCAGUUUUUCAACAAAAAGAUGUGUUAGUCUCACAGCACACCAGUGGCUCUCUACAAAGAACAUUGUUCAACAAUUCCUUCAACAAAUGUUACACACUUCUUAAUCAAUAUAAAUAUCAUUAGUCAGGCUAAAAGGUCUGAAAUUAACAUAAGUGGUUCUGGAAACUAUUCCCAUAUGAAUUUAAUUGAUGUAGCAUUAAAUAUGUGUUUGGAGGUCUGAAGAGUCUAGGUAUCUUGAUAUUGAUGUUAAGUGAUUGCAUCCUGGAAUGCAAAAGCUAGGCUUUUGCAAAGACUGAGACAAAAAAAUAGUAAUACAAGCUAAUUUCUGUCUACAUUUAUUAUCUCUAUUUUCUCUUAUAAAUCAGCUGCUUUCUCUCUGAGAAUUGCUGUUCUCUGGUCCCUGGUCCAUGGCCCCAUAGAUGAUGGUGGCUGUGCACAUAGCUCUUGAGUUUACAUGUUAUAAGCCUAACUUUAAUUUUUUCUCAGUCCCAAAUCAAAAUUCCAGUAGAUGACAACUCUGAUUUCCAUAGCUGGCCCUAUUUGGACCAUAUGGAUCCAAUCAAUUAUGACCUACGGGAUGAGCUUUAUAACAUUUACCAAAUGUUCCACUCCUGUGGAUUUGUAGAUAAGAGAGGAUCAUUGGAUUUGAGAAAACAUUACAAAAACUGUAUAUUAUUGUAAUCUGAUACCUUGUAAGAAUAAUAAAGCAAAGCUAGUAAUCACUAUAAUAUUCAGAAUUUAUUGAAAGUCUAUUAUAAUCAGGCUUUGCAUUCUCAUAUCAAACUAUCACCUCAACCAUGUGAAGAGGUUCCUGUGUUACCUCUGUUUUAAAGAAGAAAAUAUUGAGAUCUAGAAAAAGGCUGUAAUUUGAUCAAGGUCACAUUGAGAUUUAGUGGCUAGGACCAAAAUCCGCAAAUUUCUGAUUCUGAGUUUCAUCAAAACAAUAGACCAAUAUUGAUUGAUUUUCACAGGAAAUAAAGCAUGUGUCAAAAUGUUCCAUACAUCAUGGAACAUUUAUAUCUCUCAUCAUGCCUAUAUUUCUGAUUGCAUCUUCUUCUAUAUAUCUCCCCAUCUGUAUUGGAUCUCUAUCUACCCACACCCUGACAUUGCCUUGCUUUUUGUCUUGGGUUAAUGAGUAAAAUUUAAAGUUAAAACUGGUUACUUCUGAGCAUGAAAUAAUCUACUGUAUAAAUUCUGUUAUUUUUCUGUCUAUUUUAAUGAUGAUAUCUGUAUUGUAAGAUGAAUUUUGUUUGUUUUACAAAGAAAGAAAUGUGCAGUUCAUUUUCUUAUUCUGCUAUGUAUCUCAAGAGUGACAGCUGUUCUUUAGGUGGCUUCUUGUCUGCUUUCUUCCACAGCUUCAACAGAUGUAUCCUGCUGUUUCCCUUUUCUAACAAAAUCCCCAAAAUCAACAUGGUAGCCAAAACACUUGCAUUAUUCUUUGUAAUAGUACAGGCUUAUAAAAAACAAGCUGUGAAAUAUCUGCUGAGUGGUAUUUAUCUUUUUUGCUUCCUCCAUAAAUAGAACAUCUAAGUUCUUAGUUUUAUAAUUAUGCCCAAUUUUUCCUCCUAAGUCCCAUUUAUAAAUUCUUUUUAGAGUUCACAAAAUGUUAUUAUCAAGUAAACUUAUCAACUGCUUAUUUAUAUACACAUAAAUGUUUUUCUUCAUAUUAACUUAUUUAAUGAUACUAACGAGUUCAGAUUCCUUUCAAGAACAUUGGAGGCAUAAAUUAUAAAUGAAGUGUAUGAAUAUCCUUGGAUUUUUGUAUUAUUAUUUUUACAGAAUUAUGUAUUUGAAAUGCAGAGAGAGAGAGAGAGAGCAGUAUCAGUCUUCUAUUUGCUGGUUCAAGCCCCAGAUAUCUACAACAGCCAAUGCUGGGCCAAGCUGAAGCCAGGAGUCAGGAGCUCUAUCUAGGUCUUCCACAUGGGUGGCAGUAGCCCAAGUACUUGAACCAUCGUAUUCUACCUUCCCUGGCACAAUAGCAGGGAGCUGGAUCAGAAACUGGGCAGUUAGGACUAUAAGUUGCACUCUAAUAUGGGAUGUCAGCAUCAAAGAAAUGGCUUAACCUGCUGUGCCACAAAGUUAAUCCAUAUUUUUAGCAUUUUUUGAAUUUCCUAACAACAUAAAGAACAGUCAAGAACAAUAAAUAAGAUUGAUUUUUUCUCAAAAUAGUAAAUUAUUUGUUUUGAUUAUGGAAAUAACACAUAACUUUUAUUAAUAUAUCAAAAAUUAAGAAGGAUGCAAGGAAUAAGUUAGAUAAUUAUCAGUAAUUCUAAAAUACAACCUUUAGUUAACCAUCAUAGUAUUUUUAGCAUAUAUCAUAUCAUAUAUCUUUUUUAAAUAUUUAUUUUAUUUAUUUGAAAGAGUUACAGAGAGAGGUAGAGACAGGGAAAGAAAGGUCUUCCAUCCACUAGUUCACUCUCCCAAUGGCUGCAACAACUGGGGCUGGGCCAGGCCAAAGCUUGGAGGCAGGAGCUUCUUUUGGAUCACCCACAUGGGUGCAGGGGUCGAAGGACUUGGCCAUUUUCCACUGCUUUCCCAGGUGCAUUAACAGGGGGCUGGAUCAGAAGUGGAGCAGCUGGGAUUUGAAUUGGUGUACAUAUGAGAUGCUGGUGCUGCAGGCAGAAGCUGAACAUUCUGUGUCAUAGCACUCGCCCCCGUAUCAUGUAGCUUGACAACUGUGUAACACAAUGAUUUAUUUGAUGUCUUUCUAAGUCAGAGAAUAAUUCUGUAUUAACAGUUGUAAUUAAUCCAGUAUAUAAUUUUAUGUUAGUUUAUGUAAUAACCUAUGAUCAAAUAUUUGUUUUUUUUCUAUUGAAACCAACAAUUAUGUACAUUGUUACAUAAAGCAACUAGUACUUUUUUCUGAUUAUCAUCCUAGAAAAUUUCCUAGGAGUAAAAUUUCAAAUGAUGUGUUUUAUUUAAUAUUACAUGUAUAUCUUGCCAAAUUACCCUCAAAAGUGGUUUACCAUUUUGCUUUUCCUGUGAAAGAAUCAAUCCAAUUUGACUUGCCUCCUGCCAUAACAGUAAACUAAUGGACAAAAUAUGUUAAACAACUGUUUUCAUAUGUUAGUCAACAAAUGGCUAAGGACUGUGAUUACCAGAUAAAAGGGAAUCAAAUGAGAUAAGUCUAUAAUCCCUUUGAGUUCCUACUUGGAGCAAUUUCCAGGAUACUUUGAAGGGCUGAAGAACCAAAAAAAUAGCCUGAGGUGAAGAGAGAUAGAUUAAAUUUUGGGAUAAAAUGAGACACCAGUAUGUCUGCAGACAAUAUUGGAGGUAAAAGGGAUCCCUAGGCUCCUAAGGAAUAUUUCUUUUAAAGUAUUUAAUUGAAUAUAAAUCUGUGCAAAGGGUAAAGUUACAUUAAUUGUACAGCUGCUGGGGAAGCAUAAUUAACAGAUCUAACUUGAAUAUUUUCCAAAGCUUUCACAGGGCUGCAAAUCAUUCUUGUUCCUUGCAAGAGUAGAGAAACCUUGUUGACCUCAUAGAACUCUUAAAAUUUUAAACAACACUUAGUGGUAGAACUAAAGUAGCCCUACAAUAAAGGAUAUUGCAGUUCUUCUCUAAAAAAAAACCUACAAAACAGUUCUCAAAACAAAGUCCAACAACUUUGUAGGAAAAUAAUAAAAUUCAUCACUCAACAAUAUAUAAGGCAUAGUAACAAUAUUAUGCAUCAAAUAAAAUUGAUAGACAAGCAAAGAAGCAUAUAAUUAGGGCUGAUAAUCAGAAUAAAAUUCAUAGAAGUAGACCCAGAGAGAUGGAAUGAUGGGUAAGGAAAUUAAAGUUGCUUUGUAAAGAUGUUCAACAAUAAAAGCAAACAUAAACCUCAUCAAGUUAAAGAAAGACAUGGAAAUGACCCAAAUAGAAUGUAAGAAUUUACUAUCAGAAAUGAAAAUUUUGUCAAAUGGAAUUUACAGAAAAAGACACUGAUAAAAAAAACUAUCAGUCCACUGGAAGACAUAGAAAGAGAAACUCUUCAGAUUUACUACAUUAAAAGGAAAAAUGACUAAAAAGAAAUUAACAGUGUUCUACAAACCUGAAGGAUAUCCAUAUAAAAGCAGUUUUUCAAAAUGUUCAUUGAAAAAACAUGUUAUGCAAAAACUAUGCAUAGAUUUCAAAUUUUUUCAUCAAAAUAAACAUAACUUUGAAUGUUUUCCAUGAUUUUUUGAAAUACCCUCAAUAUGAAAUAUAAACUAUAAAAUAACUAGAAUACCAUAUAUGAAGUAUCAGAGACUUUUUGUCAACAAUUAAGCCAGAUGAUAACAAAACAAUAUAUGAGGGUACCUCAAAAAGAUCUAGAAAAUAGAAUUAAAAGAUAUAUAUUUGGUUCAAAACAUAUUUAAAAUCCAUGUAUAAUCUUCAUAAUGUGAACUUUUUAAAGUAAACUUGUAUUUAACAUGCUGAAAAAAGCACAACAUACCAAUUUAGAAA